UGUCCGACUCGCGGUGAAUCAUGAUAACUCCACGGAUCGCAUGGCCUCGUGCCGGCGAUGUUUCAUUCAAAUUUCUGCCCUAUCAUCUUUCGACGGUAAGGUAUUGGCUUACCGUGGUGGUAACGGGUGACGGAGGAUUAGGGUUCGAUUCCGGAGAGGGAGCCUGAGAAACGGCUACCACAUCCAAGGAAGGCAGCAGGCGCGCAAAUUACCCAAUCUUGACACAAGGAGGUAGUGACAAUAAAUAACAAUACCGGGGUUUUUCAACUCUGGUAAUUGGAAUGAGUACAAUCUAAACCCCUUAACGAGGAUCAAUUGGAGGGCAAGUCUGGUGCCAGCAGCCGCGGUAAUUCCAGCUCCAAUAGCGUAUAUUUAAGUUGUUGCAGUUAAAAAGCUCGUAGUUGGAUUUCGGGCGGGCUCGGCUGGUCCGCCUAUCGGUGUGCACUGACCGAGCCCGUCUUGUUGCCGGGGACGGGCUCCUGGGCUUAACUGUCCGGGACUCGGAGUCGGCGAGGUUACUUUGAGUAAAUUAGAGUGUUCAAAGCAGGCCUACGCUCUGAAUACAUUAGCAUGGAAUAACACGAUAGGACUCUGGCCUAUCUUGUUGGUCUGUGGGACCGGAGUAAUGAUUAAGAGGGACAGUCGGGGGCAUUCGUAUUUCAUUGUCAGAGGUGAAAUUCUUGGAUUUAUGAAAGACGAACUACUGCGAAAGCAUUUGCCAAGGAUGUUUUCAUUAAUCAAGAACGAAAGUUGGGGGCUCGAAGACGAUUAGAUACC
rnacentral:rRNA from 1 species